rnacentral:lncRNA from 1 species
CAGCCUCUCUGUGUUAGUGAUGCUUGUUUAACAGUCUGAUGGCCUUGAGAUGGAAGCUGUUAUUCAGUCGCUUGGUCCCAGCUUUGAUUCACCUGUACCGACCUCGCCUUCUGGAUGGUAGCGGGGUGAACAGGCAGUGGCUCAGGUGGUUGUUGUCCUUGAUGAUCUGGGACGAGGGAAAGAUGAAUGAAGUAAAGUACAGUGAGAUCCUUGAUGAAACCUGCUCCAGAGCACUCAGGACCUCACAAUGGGUUGAAGGUUCACCUGCCAACAUGACAACAACCCUAAGCACAAAAAAUCCUGCCAA